rnacentral:lncRNA from 10 species
CUUGCCUUCUAUUCCCCUCAACAGCAAGGACAAAUUCUCCAAUGGAUUUCAGAGAUGUUGUUUAUUUCUCCUAACCUUAUCUGUCAUGUCCUGAGUAGCUGGCAGUGACCUUAUAGGGCAAAAUCAUGAGUUCAGUGACGGGAUGUAGAAAAGAUUAUUUUGCCAGAGAUUUAAACACCUGAUCUCAGCCCACAAAUGCCUUCCAGUGGAUGGCUCCAUAUUACCUUAUUACAGAAGAAAGGAAGAAUGGUUAUUCUUUGCAUGAAAAAGAUAGUAACUCAUACCAAGGGCUUUCCUUUAAUUUGUCCUAAAUAAUCUCCUUUACACUUCAGAGAAGUCAACCUGUUACUUUAUAUUUCUUGCUAGAAACCAGUUUAUCCACGCAUGUAAAGAUAAGGGGAAAAAAGGCAGAAAUUUCUGUAUUGCAUUCACAUUUCUUCUUGUCAUAUUUUAAUCCAAAAUAUUUAUUUUUCCGGUAGUCUGACUGAAUACCUUCUUAGCAUCCUCAGGCUAUCCACAUUUUAAUCUUAUCUCUGCCUAAAACAUUGGCCUAGUUCAAGUGUAUAUACAAUUAAAGUGUUUAUAACGCUUUCUAUCACAAGCACAAAAUAAUAAUCAGGUAUCAUUCUGUCCAUUCACGUUGCCAGCAAAAGUCUUCUUGAUGGUUUUAUGAAUUUCUCUCACAUUCAUUCACCUUUUCUCUCCUUCUUGGCUUCUUGUGCUAGUUCCCUUCCUUCCUGAAGUAAUUGAGAACAGGAAUCUCCCAUCAUGUUAGUUCCUCAUUCUUUUUGUCAAAUGUUCUUUAUUUCACUUAUUUAUUGGAUUCAUGCAAGUCCCCAGAGUUUACAAUAAUCUAGAGAGUUGGUGAAUUCCAAUUUAGUAUUUCCUUUAUCACUAAAUUCAUUUCUGUAUUACUCUUCAAGCCUUAACAGUACACACCAGUGCCAGAAAAUACAACAUGUAUCUCAGCAGAGGUGCAAAUAGGAUAUUCGUCAAAAUAUCUUACUCUUUAUCCAGGACCUCUCUGUGGUUUCCUUUUCUUUGGGAUCUUUCUUCCUCAAAUGAUGUCUGUCUUGAUAGCUCUGAACUCCAAGUUUUGUCUCCCUACCCCUGGUGAGUCUGCCAAAGGCUCUAGGCUGCCACUUUCUGUUUGGCUUUGCUGCCAUGAUAUGUGAAUCAGUCAAGGA